GCGCCCUGCCCGCGACGGCGGGAAACCGGGACAUAGACCUGGCCCGGAGCGAAGACUCAAAUCUGAGAAACUCUUCCAUGUUGACAAAGAAAAAGGCCAGCAGAAUCAGAAUUAAAAGUCACACUAUACUAUAAUGGGAGAUGGAAUUAUCUAGGUCCUGGCAUCUAAAAGAAAUCAAGUUCAGAAGUCAGAUAAACCUAUGAACGCAAGGUACAUGGGCUGGGAAGACAAUGGAUAAGAGAGACAGAGGAUUUUAAAUCUACAACAGGAAAGUUUUAUGGCUCAAAACAACUUUUGGAUGGAGAAGCGUAAGAGGUCUCCUACUCCUGUAGCUAUUGUAGCACUUUAUGGGAACAUAUCUGUCUCUUCAAAUUCCCGAUACCUCAAUAUACAUACCGUAAUGUUUAUUCAUACAGUUAAAAAAAAAACCUCAAUUAAAUC